rnacentral:rRNA from 1 species
UACGUAGGGUGCGAGCGUUAAUCGGAAUUACUGGGCGUAAAGCGUGCGCAGGCGGUUUUGUAAGCCAGGUGUGAAAUCCCCGGGCUCAACCUGGGAAUGGCAUUUGGGACUGCAAGGCUGGAGUGCGGCAGAGGAGACUGGAAUUCCUGGUGUAGCAGUGAAAUGCGUAGAUAUCAGGAGGAACACCGAUGGCGAAGGCGAUCAUCUGGGGUUGUUCUGACACUGAGGAGCGAAAGCUAGGGGAGCAAACGGG